GCCCUUAAAAUUUGAUGAAUAACAUUAAAACACGGCCUUCUGUAUCUUGGACAUAUUUUGUCCAAUCGAGUCCAAACUAUACACAUAAGACAAGAGUCGCGAUCGGAAGACAUCUACCUAGAAAUCAUGACUUAAAAGGACAGCGCCCCCUGGGGGCAUUAGGAAAUGUCUUGUUUUGGUAGGUGUUACUCUUUGAUCUAUUUCUCCCCAGCCACUGUGCUAAACCAUGUCAAACUUUGUCACAUGGGUCUCAAGAUAUUGAUAAUGUAGGCAUAAUAUUACUGUGACUUUUCAUCAUGCGGAUUGUUAAUGGCGGGGCAUCAAAGUUCAUCAGCUCACCAUGACAAACGAAAUUCAUUUUAACGGAGUUACCAUGAACGCAUCAUUAGACCGCAUUGUUUUGGUCAACUCACACCUGGAGUUAUUUCUAUUCAGCCACUUUGCGAAACCAUUUCAAACUGUGUGAAAUGGGUCUCAAGAUAUUGAUAGUGUAGGCAUAAGAUUGCUGUGACUUUUCAUCAUGAUGAUUAACUGCUUGGCAGCUGAGGUCAUCAUCUCGACAUGAAAAACGAAACGCAAUUUAACACAGCUGCAAGUGAACGCAUCAUGACAAUCUCCUUCAGUAAGAGCUGAGUCUGUGGUGACGGUCCACUCACACAUCGAAUCAGUAGCACAGUUUGCUGUUCUGCUUGUUCAUCUGACGGACACGUAAAAGGCGACUGCUCUCUCGUUUCUGUGGAUGUCCAGCGUGAGACACAACUUGAAUCCAACCAGACUGAACACUGACUCCAGGGACAGACGAGCCUGAAGGACACAGCUGUGAUGACCAUGUUCUGUCUCUUAUGACAAAGCAGAAAUAUAAAACACUGGGUUCUUAUCUAAAGUGUAUCAAAUCAGAUCUCCACCAUGUUGCUGCUGAGGACAUCAGGUGCUGCAGUUCUUCAUCUAUGAAGAUGAAAAAACUCACUGUUAAAGAAUGUUUUGUGUUGUGUAUGAAGCACAACAGAUUUCAGAUAGAACCGUUGUACUGUGGUCUUGGUUUGUAUCCUCAUGGUUAAAUGUACAUAUUUUACGUCCCUUCUGAUAAAAGUACUGAAAGAAAUACAACAUUGUAUAAAUAGAUAAAAUGUCUUUCUACCUCAUCAGUAAUAUUCAAGGUGAUAAUCUCCCACAGAGCUAUUGAUAGAAGUCCACAUCAAGUCUCUCGACUUCUCUCAGUGUGAAAACAUAAUUAUAUCAUUAAUUUGAGAACUGUUUACAACACUGAUGUUUGGAGAUUAAAAUCAUAUCUAAACUGUCUAAUUCACUGUAAAACUCCAUGACAUUCGCAGGCCAUCUGUACUUAAAAGACGAACCUGGAUUGAUCUGUCCAAAAAUCCAAAAGUCUCCCUACCCUCUCUAGUGCCCCUGAGCAAGGCACCUCACUCCCCAAACAUCUGCUCCCCGAGCGCCGUACAUGGUCGCUGACUGCUCUGUGUGUCCUGCACCAGAUGGUAAAAAGCAGAGAUUAAAUUUCCCUACCUGCAUGAGUGUGCCUUUGCAUGUCUGUGCAUUUGUUUGGGACGAAUAAAUGGAUCUUAAUCUUAAUCUUUUAAUCUUGAUCAGUUGUCUUCCAGUUGACCAGCAUGACGCUGCAGAUCUCCACCAUGUUGCUGCUGAGGACAUCAGGAGCUGCAUUAAUGAGGAGCAGAAGCGCACUGUUAUGAAUGUUUUGUGUUGUGUAUGAAGCACCACAUAUUUCAGAUAGAACCAAUGUACUGGGGUCUGGGUUUGUAUCCUAAUGGUUAAAUGCACAUACUUUAAAUCGCUUUUGAUAAAACGUGAGAAAGAAAUACAACAUUAUACACAUAGAUAAAAUGUCUUUCUACCUCAUCUGUAAUAUUCAAGGUGAUGAUCUCCCACAGAGCUGUUGAUAACAGUCCACAUCAAGUCUCUCCACUUCCCUCAGUGUGAAAACAUAAUUAUAUAAUUAACUGGAGAAGUGUUUACAACACUGAUGUGUGGACAUUAUAAUCUUAUCUAUACUGUCUAAUUGACUCUACAACUCCAUGACAGACUAAAUUAACAAUGUGAAAAUAGUAAUGGUGGAUAUAUCAGCCUGUAUCAGAAUAAUGGUGAAACAGUUAUUAUCACAUGCAACGUACACGUGUAGCGUAUUGAUAGUAACUUAUUAAAAAAAUAAAUAAAGUCACAACCAAAACAAGA